UUUUUUUUUUUUUUUUUUGAGAUGGAGUCUCACUCUGUUGCCCAGGCUGGAGUGCAAUGGUGUGAUCUUGGCUCACUGCAACCUCCUGAGUUCGAGGGAUUCUCCUGCCUCAGCCUCCUGAGUAGCUAGGAUUACAGGUGCCCACCAUCGUGCCUGGCUAAUUUUUGUGUUUUUAGUAGAGACAGGGUUUACCCAUGUUGGUUAGGCUGUUCUUGAACUCCUGACCUCAGGUGAUUCGCCAGCCUCAGUCUCCCAAAGUGCUGGGAUUACAGGCCUGAACCAAUGUGUCUGGCCUUAGUGAUGCUUCUUAAUCAGAAUAUAGCUCCUGCUGAUUAACUGAUAAAACUGUAAUUGUGUUGUAAUAGUUUUCCCUCUGCAAGAGGAAGUAUCAGUAUAAUACUUUCUUUAAAUGCUAUUAAAAAAUAAUGCUCCUAAACAAGAUUUUAAAAUGCCCUACCAGAGACUAUAAACAGUGGGUCAAAUGUUUGCUUAAAAAAAAAAAGCCAAAAAUUACAUAGCUCAGUAAUUACUGUCACAUUGGAAGGCUAUCAAAUUAGUGCAAUUAUCCUGUCAUUACCUAAAAAAAUGAUGGGCAAACUACGGACUGUGGGUCAAAUAUCCACAAACUGCUCCUGUAAAUAAAAUUAUUGGAACACAUCUAAACUCACUCAUUUAAGUGUUGUCUACAGCUGCUUUCUUGCGACAGCAGUGUUGGUUAGUUGUGAGAGAAUCCAUAUGACCCACAAAGCCUAAAAUAUCUAUCAUCUGAAUAUAUACAGAAAAAGUUUACCAAUCCCUGGCCUAAAAUAGUUUUGGAGCUCUUACUUUGUUUCUUGUUGAAUUUUAGAAACAUGGGAAGUUUUCUGAAUAGCAUCAAUGUUGCAAAUUUUAAUUUGUUAAGAUAGACUUGAUUUUUCAGAAAUGCCAACAGUCAUUUGUGUUAAAGAAUGGUAAAUGUUAAAAUAAAUUUUUGGUGCUGCAAGGAAAUAGCACUCAAACAUCAAUUUAAUUUUCUCAGCAAGGCAAUUUUUACUUCUAUAGAAGUGUGCAACUCGUGAUGGAGCAAUGGCGAGAGCACACCUGAACAAGGGAGGGGAAGGGGUUUUAUUCCUGACACAGGUAGCCCCUACUGCUAUGUCAUUCCCCUAUUGGCUAGGGUUGGACCACACAGUCUAAGCUAAUUCCAAUUGACUGUUUUAAAGAGAGCAGGGGUACGAGCUGGAGUGGUAGGGUGAGUUGUUGGCGUGAAGGACGGUUACAGAACAGGUGACUCAGGAUGAUUCAGGUUAGAGCAGGUGACCACAGGUGUCUCAGGACAGAGCAGGUGACCGGGGGAAUAGAUGUGAACUACUGAUGAGAAAUGGUGGGAAACGUUGUUUACUGAAACUAGGGGCAAGCGGAACAAGGAAGUUAACCUUUAAAAUGGAGAAUGAAGAACAGGGGAGCUGAACAUAUGGAUACAUUGGUUCUUUGGAGAGAAUCUCAGAACUCACUGUACUUAACAAUUUACAGUCGUCUAAAAUCUUUGAAGAGGAAUGUAUUAUAUCCUACCAUAAAUAAGUUGGGUGAUCACUUGUUCUGAUUCUGUUUCAUCCAAAAUAAAAUGUGGAUAC
ensembl:lncRNA